AGCGUACACGGUGGAUGCCCUGGCAGUCAGAGGCGAUGAAGGACGUGCUAAUCUGCGAAAAGCGCCGGCGAGGUGAUAUGAACCCUUGACCCGGCGAUGUCCGAAUGGGGAAACCCAGUGCAAUCCGUUGCACUAUCGUUAACUGAAUACAUAGGUUAACGAGGCGAACCGGGGGAACUGAAACAUCUAAGUACCCCGAGGAAAAGAAAUCAACCGAGAUUCCCCCAGUAGCGGCGAGCGAACGGGGAGCAGCCCGGAGUCUGAAUCAGCUUGUGUGUUAGUGGAACGGUCUGGAAAGUCCGACGGUACAGGGUGAUAGUCCCGUACACGAAAGCACACUUGCUGUGAACUCGAAGAGUAGGGCGGGACACGUGGUAUCCUGUCUGAAUAUGGGGGGACCAUCCUCCAAGGCUAAAUACUCCUGACUGACCGAUAGUGAACCAGUACCGUGAGGGAAAGGCGAAAAGAACCCCGGCGAGGGGAGUGAAAAAGAACCUGAAACCGUGUACGUACAAGCAGUGGGAGCCUCUUUAUGGGGUGACUGCGUACCUUUUGUAUAAUGGGUCAGCGACUUAUAUUCUGUAGCAAGGUUAACCGUAUAGGGGAGCCGAAGGGAAACCGAGUCUUAACUGGGCGUUAAGUUGCAGGGUAUAGACCCGAAACCCGGUGAUCUAGCCAUGGGCAGGUUGAAGGUUGGGUAACACUAACUGGAGGACCGAACCGACUAAUGUUGAAAAAUUAGCGGAUGACCUGUGGCUGGGGGUGAAAGGCCAAUCAAACCGGGAGAUAGCUGGUUCUCCCCGAAAGCUAUUUAGGUAGCGCCUCGUGAAUUCAUCUUCGGGGGUAGAGCACUGUUUCGGCUAGGGGGCCAUCCCGGCUUACCAACCCGAUGCAAACUACGAAUACCGAAGAAUGUUAUCACGGGAGACACACGGCGGGUGCUAACGUCCGUCGUGAAGAGGGAAACAACCCAGACCGCCAGCUAAGGUCCCAAAGUCAUGGUUAAGUGGGAAACGAUGUGGGAAGGCACAGACAGCCAGGAUGUUGGCUUAGAAGCAGCCAUCAUUUAAAGAAAGCGUAAUAGCUCACUGGUCGAGUCGGCCUGCGCGGAAGAUGUAACGGGGCUAAACCAUGCACCGAAGCUGCGGCAGCGACGCUUAUGCGUUGUUGGGUAGGGGAGCGUUCUGUAAGCCGUUGAAGGUGUGCUGUGAGGCAUGCUGGAGGUAUCAGAAGUGCGAAUGCUGACAUAAGUAACGAUAAAGCGGGUGAAAAGCCCGCUCGCCGGAAGACCAAGGGUUCCUGUCCAACGUUAAUCGGGGCAGGGUGAGUCGACCCCUAAGGCGAGGCCGAAAGGCGUAGUCGAUGGGAAACAGGUUAAUAUUCCUGUACUUGGUGUUACUGCGAAGGGGGGACGGAGAAGGCUAUGUCAGCCGGGCGACGGUUGUCCCGGUUUAAGCAUGUAGGCGGAGGUUCCAGGUAAAUCCGGUACCUUAUUAACGCUGAGGUGUGAUGACGAGGCACUACGGUGCUGAAGUGAUAAAUGCCCUGCUUCCAGGAAAAGCCUCUAAGCAUCAGGUAACACGAAAUCGUACCCCAAACCGACACAGGUGGUCAGGUAGAGAAUACCAAGGCGCUUGAGAGAACUCGGGUGAAGGAACUAGGCAAAAUGGUGCCGUAACUUCGGGAGAAGGCACGCUGAUGUGUAGGUGAAGUCCCUGCGGACGGAGCUGAAAUCAGUCGAAGAUACCAGCUGGCUGCAACUGUUUAUUAAAAACACAGCACUGUGCAAACACGAAAGUGGACGUAUACGGUGUGACGCCUGCCCGGUGCCGGAAGGUUAAUUGAUGGGGUUAGCGGCAACGCGAAGCUCUUGAUCGAAGCCCCGGUAAACGGCGGCCGUAACUAUAACGGUCCUAAGGUAGCGAAAUUCCUUGUCGGGUAAGUUCCGACCUGCACGAAUGGCGUAAUGAUGGCCAGGCUGUCUCCACCCGAGACUCAGUGAAAUUGAACUCGCUGUGAAGAUGCAGUGUACCCGCGGCAAGACGGAAAGACCCCGUGAACCUUUACUAUAGCUUGACACUGAACACUGGUCCUUGAUGUGUAGGAUAGGUGGGAGGCUUUGAAGCGUGGACGCCAGUCUGCGUGGAGCCAACCUUGAAAUACCACCCUUUAAUGGCUGGUGUUCUAACGUGGACCCGUAAUCCGGGUUGCGGACAGUGUCUGGUGGGUAGUUUGACUGGGGCGGUCUCCUCCCAAAGAGUAACGGAGGAGCACGAAGGUUGGCUAAUCCUGGUCGGACAUCAGGAGGUUAGUGCAAUGGCAUAAGCCAGCUUGACUGCGAGCGUGACGGCGCGAGCAGGUGCGAAAGCAGGUCAUAGUGAUCCGGUGGUUCUGAAUGGAAGGGCCAUCGCUCAACGGAUAAAAGGUACUCCGGGGAUAACAGGCUGAUACCGCCCAAGAGUUCAUAUCGACGGCGGUGUUUGGCACCUCGAUGUCGGCUCAUCACAUCCUGGGGCUGAAGUAGGUCCCAAGGGUAUGGCUGUUCGCCAUUUAAAGUGGUACGCGAGCUGGGUUUAGAACGUCGUGAGACAGUUCGGUCCCUAUCUGCCGUGGGCGCUGGAGAAUUGAGGGGGGCUGCUCCUAGUACGAGAGGACCGGAGUGGACGCAUCACUGGUGUUCGGGUUGUCAUGCCAAUGGCACUGCCCGGUAGCUAAAUGCGGAAGAGAUAAGUGCUGAAAGCAUCUAAGCACGAAACUUGCCCCGAGAUGAGUUCU
rnacentral:rRNA from 1 species